GACGAACGCUGGCGGCGUGCUUAACACAUGCAAGUCGAACGGAAAGGCCCUGCUUUUGUGGGGUGCUCGAGUGGCGAACGGGUGAGUAACACGUGAGUAACCUGCCCUUGACUUUGGGAUAACUUCAGGAAACUGGGGCUAAUACCGGAUAGGAGCUCCUGCUGCAUGGUGGUGGUUGGAAAGUUUCGGCGGUUGGGGAUGGACUCGCGGCUUAUCAGCUUGUUGGUGGGGUAGUGGCUUACCAAGGCUUUGACGGGUAGCCGGCCUGAGAGGGUGACCGGCCACAUUGGGACUGAGAUACGGCCCAGACUCCUACGGGAGGCAGCAGUGGGGAAUAUUGCACAAUGGGCGGAAGCCUGAUGCAGCAACGCCGCGUGCGGGAUGACGGCCUUCGGGUUGUAAACCGCUUUCGCCUGUGACGAAGCGUGAGUGACGGUAAUGGGUAAAGAAGCACGGGCUAACUACGUG
rnacentral:rRNA from 1 species